UUGGCACGAAAACUUGCUUUAGUACUUAAACUACAGGGUGUUUAUAUACCCCUUAACAUGUUUGAUGUGAAUUAUUUUCAACCCUCCCAACACCAGCCCAGUUGAAGGCCGGGGAUUGUUACGCACGCACGAUUUCAAUGAUCCGUGUUACUAAGGGUUUAAAGAAUGUCUUAUCCAUUUUUAAAACACACCCAUACCCAAAAUACAAUGCGACCCACUUAUUAACAAAUAUCCCUAAAUCACUAAGCUCGAUUCUCAUUCUUUUCUCUUAUCUUAAAUCUGCAAGACAUAAGAUCUGAUGAUUUCUCUUUGUUAGCGUGAAGGAUUUCCGGAGUUUAAGAUUUUCGUGAAAGAAACAAAGAAUUGUGUGAAGAAACAAAGUUACCAGUUUGAUGAUGGAUGUGUAUGUUACCUUAAGGUUUCACCAUGGUGGAAAACUACAACUAAAACCUCGUAUUAAGUAUGAAGGAGGCAGAGGAAGAGAAAAUGGAGAGGAACAAAGAUUAGUUCAACAAGGUCAAUUGUUGAUUCUUCUACAGCAUCAACUAAAUCACAAUCAAGCACAAAGAGAGGAAGAGGUCGACUAAGAAGUUCUACAAAACAGGUAAUGUUUAUAGUAAUUCAUCUAGUUGUUAUUUACAUCGUAAUCAGUCCAAUAUUUUUGCUUAUCAACUUAUGUUAUAGGCUAGUGCUUCUAGAAAGGGAAGUAAAAUUGGAACUAGUUUAGUUGGAACUGGAAGGGAUCGAAAGAGAAACUGAAAUUGGUAACGGAAUAAGAACUACUGUUGCUUUUGAUGGUUCGGGUCCCACUAGAAGGGGAAGAGGAACUAGAGCUGAUUUAGUUGGAAGGGAAAGAGAAACUGCAACUAGUGUAUCUAAAAGGGGAAUAGGUAGAGGAACUGUAGUAGCUGCUACUGCUAUUAUUACUGAUGUUGAUGGUGCUACUGGAGGAGGGAAGAGGCCAAGAAUAGUUGGAAUAGCGAUACUACAUAUACAAAAUAAUUUUAAAAUCCACAAUGUAAGUUGUCUUAAUUAUUUGCACACUUUUCAAUUUUAACUUAUAAAGUAUCUAAAACAACAUAUUUUUGUGAAUCUAGCCCGAAAUGCCUAUGAACUCUUCAAUAGUGACUGGACAUCUUAGGCAUCAUAAUCAAGAUCACGCUUAAAAUGAAAAGAAAAGAUUGUUGUAACUCAACAAGGUCUUCAAGAGAUGAGAAAAACAAAAGAAGGAGAAUAAGGUUUAAUAAUGAUGAAGUUUGAUAUGGAGAUUGUUUUAGUUUGCUAUUUUACUUGUUUUUGGAACAAUUAUGCAUCUGUGACUGCAUUAGUUUGAUAUGUUUGUUUUUGAAACAAUUAUGUUGCAGAUGUGACUGCAUUGAUAUAUGUUUGUUUUAGAAACAAUUAUACAAUUAUGCAGUUGUGACUGCAUUAGUUUGAUAUAUGUUUGAAAUGAUUAUGUAGUUGUGAUUG